AGAGUUUGAUCCUGGCUCAGGACGAACGCUGGCGGCACGCUUAACACAUGCAAGUCGAACGAGAGAAGAGAAGCUUGCUUUUCUGAUCUAGUGGCGGACGGGUGAGUAACACGUGAGCAAUCUGCCUUUCAGAGGGGGAUACCGAUUGGAAACGAUCGUUAAUACCGCAUAAUAUAAUUGAACCGCAUGAUUUGAUUAUCAAAGAUUUAUCGCUGAAAGAUGAGCUCGCGUCUGAUUAGCUAGUUGGUAAGGUAACGGCUUACCAAGGCGACGAUCAGUAGCCGGACUGAGAGGUUGAUCGGCCACAUUGGGACUGAGACACGGCCCAGACUCCUACGGGAGGCAGCAGUGGGGAAUAUUGCACAAUGGAGGAAACUCUGAUGCAGCGAUGCCGCGUGAGGGAAGAAGGUUUUAGGAUUGUAAACCUCUGUCUUCAGGGACGAAAAAAGACGGUACCUGAGGAGGAAGCUCCGGCUAACUACGUGCCAGCAGCCGCGGUAAUACGUAGGGAGCGAGCGUUGUCCGGAAUUACUGGGUGUAAAGGGAGCGUAGGCGGGAUCGCAAGUCAGAUGUGAAAACUAUGGGCUUAACCCAUAAACUGCAUUUGAAACUGUGGUUCUUGAGUGAAGUAGAGGUAAGCGGAAUUCCUAGUGUAGCGGUGAAAUGCGUAGAUAUUAGGAGGAACAUCAGUGGCGAAGGCGGCUUACUGGGCUUUAACUGACGCUGAGGCUCGAAAGCGUGGGGAGCAAACAGGAUUAGAUACCCUGGUAGUCCACGCCGUAAACGAUGAUUACUAGGUGUGGGGGGACUGACCCCUUCCGUGCCGCAGCAAACGCAAUAAGUAAUCCACCUGGGGAGUACGACCGCAAGGUUGAAACUCAAAGGAAUUGACGGGGGCCCGCACAAGCAGUGGAGUAUGUGGAUUAAUUCGAAGCAACGCGAAGAACCUUACCAGGUCUUGACAUCGUAUGCAUAGCUCAGAGAUGAGUGAAAUCUCUUCGGAGACAUAUAGACAGGUGGUGCAUGGUUGUCGUCAGCUCGUGUCGUGAGAUGUUGGGUUAAGUCCCGCAACGAGCGCAACCCUUACUGUUAGUUGCUACGCAAGAGCACUCUAGCAGGACUGCCGUUGACAAAACGGAGGAAGGUGGGGAUGACGUCAAAUCAUCAUGCCCCUUAUGACCUGGGCCUCACACGUACUACAAUGGCUGUCAACAGAGGGAUGCAAAGCCGCGAGGUGGAGCGAACCCCUAAAAGCAGUCUUAGUUCGGAUUGUAGGCUGCAACCCGCCUACAUGAAGUCGGAAUUGCUAGUAAUCGCAGAUCAGCAUGCUGCGGUGAAUACGUUCCCGGGCCUUGUACACACCGCCCGUCACGCCAUGGGAGUCGGUAACACCCGAAGCCUGUAGUCUAACCGUAAGGAGGACGCAGUCGAAGGUGGGAUUGAUGACUGGGGUGAAGUCGUAACAAGGUAGCCGUAUCGGAAGGUGCGGCUG
rnacentral:rRNA from 1 species